GACCUGCACCUGGCUCCAUGGCGGAACCGGCCGGCACGGAUUAUUCCCCUCUCGGGAGAGGUCUGCAGCCGGGCCUCAGUGCUUCAGUUCGUGGCCUGGCAUUUUGUGAAGAGUGUCUUCAUCUCUGCAUCCCUAGUGCAACAGAGCAUGACAAAAAUUCAACAAAUAUUUAUUGAAGAGUCUUGAUGUCUUUUGGGAAAGGAACUCUAUGGUUACCUUUACUCUAAGAGAUGGGGAUCUCACUCUGUUGCCCAGGCUGGUCUCAAACUCCUGGCUUCAAGCAAUCCUCCUGCUUCGGCCUCCCAAACUUCUGGGAUUACAGAUAUGAGCCACCACGGCUGGCUGACAGGCACCAAAUUCUAGGAGAGGACUUGAAUAGACUCCCAAGGAGGCAGCAGAAACUGGGGUAAUCACAACGGUCAACAGCAGCAAAGGCAGCACUUUCUGA
rnacentral:lncRNA from 10 species